AGGGGGUAAGUGUAAUGGCUAUGCACGCGGGAUUCCAAAUCCUUGCAGAGAGGGUUCGAUUCCUUCACUUCCUGCCA
rnacentral:tRNA from 1 species